rnacentral:rRNA from 1 species
UGAGGAAUAUUGGUCAAUGGGCGCUAGCCUGAACCAGCCAAGUAGCGUGAAGGAUGAAGGCUCUAUGGGUCGUAAACUUCUUUUAUAUAAGAAUAAAGUGCAGUAUGUAUACUGUUUUGUAUGUAUUAUAUGAAUAAGGAACGGCUAACUCCGUGCCAGCAGCCGCGGUAAUACGGAGGAUCCGAGCGUUAUCCGGAUUUAUUGGGUUUAAAGGGAGCGUAGGUGGACUGGUAAGUCAGUUGUGAAAGUUUGCGGCUCAACCGUAAAAUUGCAGUUGAUACUGUCAGUCUUGAGUACAGUAGAGGUGGGCGGAAUUCGUGGUGUAGCGGUGAAAUGCUUAGAUAUCACGAAGAACUCCGAUUGCGAAGGCAGCUCACUGGACUGCAACUGACACUGAUGCUCGAAAGUGUGGGUAUCAAACAGG